UACGUAGGGUGCAAGUGUUAAUCGGAAUUACUGGGCGUAAAGCGUGCGCAGGCGGUUCUAUAAGACAGGUGUGAAAUCCCCGGGCUCAACCUGGGAACUGCAUUUGUGACUGUAGAGCUGGAGUACGGCAGAGGGGGAUGGAAUUCCGCGUGUAGCAGUGAAAUGCGUAGAUAUGCGGAGGAACACCGAUGGCGAAGGCAAUCCCCUGGGCCUGUACUGACGCUCAUGCACGAAAGCGUGGGGAGCAAACAGG
rnacentral:rRNA from 1 species